GGAGAGAUGGCCGAGUGGCUGAAGGCGCACGCUUGGAAAGCGCGUAUACAUAAAAAUGUAUCAUGGGUUCGAAUCCCAUUUUCUCCG
rnacentral:tRNA from 1 species